AACGAACGCUGGCGGCAGGCUUAACACAUGCAAGUCGAACGCGUGUAGCAAUACACGAGUGGCGCACGGGUGAGUAACGCGUGGAUAUCUGCCUUAUGGUUCGGAAUAACUCCGGGAAACUGGAGCUAAUACCGGAUGGUUCCUUCGGGAUAAAGAUUUAUCGCCAAAAGAUGAGUCCGCGUACGAUUAGCUAGUUGGUGAGGUAAUGGCUCACCAAGGCGACGAUCGUUAGCUGGUCUGAGAGGACGAUCAGCCACACUGGGACUGAGACACGGCCCAGACUCCUACGGGAGGCAGCAGUGGGGAAUAUUGGACAAUGGGGGCAACCCUGAUCCAGCCAUGCCGCGUGAGUGAUGAAGGCCUUCGGGUUGUAAAGCUCUUUUGGCGGGGACGAUGAUGACGGUACCCGCAGAAUAAGCCCCGGCUAACUUCGUGCCAGCAGCCGCCGUAA
rnacentral:rRNA from 1 species